rnacentral:rRNA from 1 species
GACGAACGCUGGCGGCGUGCUUAACACAUGCAAGUCGAACGGAAAGGCCCUGCUUUUGUGGGGUGCUCGAGUGGCGAACGGGUGAGUAACACGUGAGUAACCUGCCCUUGACUUUGGGAUAACUUCAGGAAACUGGGGCAAAUACGGGAUGGGACUUCUGCCGGCUGGGUGGGGGUGGGAAAGUUCGGGGGGUGGGGAUGGACCCGCGGCUUAUCAGCUUGUUGGUGGGGUAGUGGCUUACCAAGGCUUUGACGGGUAGCCGGCCUGAGAGGGGGACCGGCCACAUUGGGACUGAGAUACGGCCCAGACUCCUACGGGAGGCAGCAGUGGGGAAUAUUGCACAAUGGGCGGAAGCCUGAUGCAGCAACGCCGCGUGCGGGAUGACGGCCUUCGGGUUGUAAACCGCUUUCGCCUGUGACGAAGCGUGAGUGACGGUAAUGGGUAAAGAAGCACCGGCUAACUACGUG